GAUGAAGAAACGCAGCGAAAUGCGAUAAGUAAUGUGAAUUGCAGAAUUCAGUGAAUCAUCGAAUCUUUGAACGCACCUUGCGCCCCUUGGUAUUCCGAGGGGCAUGCCUGUUUGAGUGUCAUUAAAUUCUCAACUUUCCAGGGUUUUAUUACUCUGGCAAAGCUUGGACUUGGAGCGUGCUGGCUUCUCAGGAAGUCGGCUCCUCUUUAAAUGCAUUAGCGAAACCUCUGUGGAUCAGCUUUGGUGUGAUAAUUAUCUACGCCGCUGCCGUGAAACAACUCUCGAGGGACUUUGCUUCGAACCGUCUUCGGACAACUCUUAAUUGACCUUUUUGACCUCAAAUCAGGUAGGACUACCCGCUGAACUUAAGCAUAUCAAUAAGCGGAGGA
rnacentral:misc_RNA from 1 species